AAUGCUAGCCAUUCCAGGUCCCAAACUCUGUCAUGCUGGCCAUUCAGUGCUUUGCAUUCUUCAUCCCAUCCAGUUCGGCCUUCAUCUCCUUGAUGGUCUGGUCCUUCUCUGCUAUGGUAUUCUUCAAUGCACAGAUCUUGAUGCCAUUUUCAAAAAUCUUCAUGCCCAGCUUCUUCUCUAGCUCUUUCAGUUUUGCACCCAUCAUCUUGUCCACCUCCUUCACCUUCUUGCAGCAUACACAAGUCUAAAUUUAUAGCCAAGUUUAGCUACAUGACAGUAAGUUUAGGAGCAUGUACAGGCAAGGAAAAAAAGAUGGGAACCAUAUAGUACCUUUAAUUUGAUACUUUGCAUUCAAAAGUGUUUAUUUAUUUCUUGCCUACAGUCAUUGAGAAUGUGGUUCUACAACUAUGAUAGAGGUUUCAUUCCAAACAAGGAAUCAUCCGAAGGUGCAAAUGAAUUACCAUAUUUUAUCCAAAAAAACAGAAACAUGUUGAACUGCCUACAGUCAUUCAGUAUUUGCAAAAGAAUCAGCAUAACUAAUUGAGAAAACCCUCGUCGCUGUUCAGAAAAAUACAGAGAUGGGAUGUGGGGAAAUCACCUUGUCGAUGUUCUGUUUCGGGCAUGUCAGCUGGCGUU
rnacentral:lncRNA from 1 species